rnacentral:rRNA from 1 species
UACGUAGGUGGCAAGCGUUGUCCGGAAUUAUUGGGCGUAAAGCGCGCGCAGGCGGUCCUUUAAGUCGGAUGUGAAAGCCCCGGGCUCAACCUGGGAAUUGCAUUCGAGACUGAAUAGCUAGGGUACGGUAGAGGGAAGUGGAAUUUCCGGUGUAGCGGUGAAAUGCGUAGAUAUCGUAAGGAAGACCAGUGGCGAAGGCGGAUCUCUGGACAGUUACUGACACUGAGGCACGAAGGCCAGGGGAGCAAACGGG